GGGCGGGUGGUGGAACGGUAGACACUCGGGUCUUAGAAGCCCGUGCCGUACGGCGUGAGGGUUCGACUCCCUCCCCGCCCA
rnacentral:tRNA from 1 species